rnacentral:snRNA from 1 species
GGAUGAGGGUGAUCUGGCUGUGACAUCUGUCACUCCAUUGAUUGCAAGGGUUGAUUUGGCUGAUCUGGUUGGCUAAGCAGAUGUUCCCCUUCCUCCCUCAUCACUCCAGGUGUGUCCCUCCCAAAGCUGCAUGUUUGGACAAAGAAGAUGACCUUCCCCAAAGACAGGAGUACCAGUCAUUGGUCAAGGGUAUACAAGUAGCUGUGCUCCCCUGCUAGAACCUCCAAACAAGCUCUGGAGGGAAGUAACAGAGGAUGGAGUACUAGUCAGAGCUCUCUAGAGGAAGAGAACUGCUG